GCGGAUAUAGUCGAAUGGUAAAAUUUCUCUUUGCCAAGGAGAAGAGCGGGUCGAUUCCCGCUAUCCGC
rnacentral:tRNA from 1 species